rnacentral:lncRNA from 1 species
CAUCUUCUUUUGCUUAUACAGAAUUUCUAAAUCUGAAGAGAAGGAAAAUAUUACGUUAUGAAACUGAACCUGAUGCACAACGUUACCAGUCACAGACUUUGAGUCAGGUAUCUGGUCUAACAUUGCCAUCCAGUGGAAGGAAUGGUGGUGGUGGAAGUGACAACUAAAACCCCAUCCGUUCUACCAGUAGUCUGGCCUUGGAACGACACCAGCAAAUUAACAACUCGGGCUUGUUUCCUGCUGCAAGGU